ensembl:snRNA U7 U7 small nuclear RNA
CAGUGUUACAGCUCUUUUAGAAUUUGUCUAGCAGGUCUUCCAGUUUCUACCGGAAGCCCCCC